UGCUAUGGGAAAAGAGAGCAUGAUGGCUUCUUUUUUUUUUUUUUUUUUUUUUUUACUGUAUCUGAGCUUCUGACCAUGCCUCUCUGUCCUCUGUUCAUGGGGCUAAUCCUGGAUCCUCACAGAAGGGGACCCAGGGAGAGACAAGGGUAGGAGCAGGACAGUUUCUGCCUUCACUUGUGGCAAGGAACCUGGCACUGGUUUCCUCCAGCUGGAAGAGGUUUAAAGCUGGUAUUUCUCUUGGUGCCAAGAGAUGCAGAACUGGUUUUUUGCCAACCUCCUCUGAAAGUCCUAUGAAGGUGGACUGGAAACUUAACUUUGAACAAACAGGUAUGUGUCAUCAAUUCCUUUGAUUCUAACUUUUGGGAGCUGCAACUAAACUGAGACAGAACUUGUUACAGGAUACUAUUUUCUUCUAAAAGACUCUGGGCUUUUCUCUGGGCUCCCUCAUGUCGUUUCCUCCAUCUGGAAUGUCCAUCUUUCCCGUGUCAUCUAUAAGGCUCAGCUCAAAGACCACUGCCUGCAGAGAACUGUCCCAGAUUCCCACAGCUACAAGUGACCUCUCCUUCCUUGCACCAUUUUUAUCCUUCUCAAACAGUGGUUACUCAUACUCUGCCCUUGCAUUGAAAUUAUUCCUGAGCAUGCAUUUUCCCUUACUGAAUAUAAAAGCCUUUGCCGCA